rnacentral:rRNA from 1 species
AAAGAAAUUGACGGAAGGGCACCACCAGGCGUGGAGCCUGCGGCUUAAUUUGACUCAACACGGGGAAACUCACCAGGUCCAGACAAAAUAAGGAUUGACAGAUUGAGAGCUCUUUCUUGAUCUUUUGGAUGGUGGUGCAUGGCCGUUCUUAGUUGGUGGAGUGAUUUGUCUGCUUAAUUGCGAUAACGAAC